rnacentral:rRNA from 1 species
GUCGAACGAGAUCUUCGGAUCUAGUGGCGCACGGGUGCGUAACGCGUGGGAAUCUGCCCUUGGGUUCGGAAUAACUUCUGGAAACGGAAGCUAAUACCGGAUGAUGACGUAAGUCCAAAGAUUUAUCGCCCAAGGAUGAGCCCGCGUAGGAUUAGCUAGUUGGUGGGGUAAAGGCCCACCAAGGCGACGAUCCUUAGCUGGUCUGAGAGGAUGAUCAGCCACACUGGGACUGAGACACGGCCCAGACUCC